GCGUUUGAGGGGUAAAGGCCAGAGAUAUCGCAGAAAAGAGGAGAUAGAAAUCCCAUUGGACAUUGGACAUUGACCAAAGACUGUCGACCAAUCGUGUUUACGUUGUCAUGUUGCGUCACGCUGUAUCGUCACGCAACACUCCGAGUCUAUAUUUGUAUUUUUGUGUUUAGGCUAUCCUGAGUCGAUAAUCACAAAAUAAAAGUAAUUCCCUCGACCACGCCCACAGAUUGUGGAAAACAAACAAUCUUUCCAAUGGACCACCUUUGGAUGCUACAGAUGAUUUUGUGAGAAGACCGAUUUUCAGGAUGUCUCAUGGUCUGACAAACAAGUACUCUAGCUCUGUCACAUUUUCACUGCAGAUGUGCGACAUCACCGGACGCGGUCAAACAUAUUCAGGCUAUUUGGCAUGGGAGUGAGAAGUUUGGGGACACGGUGGCCAAGUAGGCUACAAAUUGAGCUGAUGAAGAGGUCGAAAAUGUAGAUAUUGCCAGAUGUUCACUGUCUGAGGAACAGGCCGUGGAUGCUUUAUUGCUGGCAAAAGUGUCCAUAACCACAGCAUCAAGUACUCUGUAGCCAAUUAGUGCGGACACCAGGUGAGACCACACACACACACACAAUAACAGUAUCUCUUCUUCACUUCAUCCUUCUCCCCCUUCUCCCUAAAUCCUCUAGGUUAUAUAAGCUGUUUUGGUGAACCUCUCCCGCAUCUGAACUGGCUGACACAGAGGGCACAGCAUGAUCAUAGGUAUGUUUUGAUGUGAGAGAGGAAGCCAGUCCCAUCAUCGCAACCUCACCUGCUCUUUAGAUAACCUUCGGGCCAACUGGGGGCCCAAGGCUGGUUAGGAGACACCGCAAUUGUGAUGAACUGAGAGAAUAUUAGGGUAGCACUGUAAUUCAUUAAUCAUAUGUUGUCUGCCGCUGUUCUUAACUCUUUCAAUUAAAUUCAAUCAAUCAAAUUUA